rnacentral:rRNA from 1 species
AAACUGAAGAGUUUGAUCCUGGCUCAGAUUGAACGCUGGCGGUAUGCUUAACACAUGCAAGUCGAACGGUAGCAGAAGAAAGCUUGCUUUCUUGCUGACGAGUGGCGGACGGGUGAGUAACGCGUGGGAAUCUACCUUAUAGCGGGGGAUAGCCCGGAGAAAUUCGGAUUAAUACCGCAUAUACCCUACGGGGAAAAGGGGCCCUCUUCUUGAAAGGUCUCGCUAUAAGAUGAGCCCGCGUUAGAUUAGCUGGUUGGUGAGGUAAGGGCUCACCAAGGCGACGAUCUAUAGCUGGUCUGAGAAAAUGAUAAACCACAUUGUGAUUGAGACACGUUCUAAUCUCUUGCUUGAGGUAGCAGUGUUGAAUAUUUGAUAAUG